UGUUAAAAGUUUCAUCCAUUUAUGCUAUUAAAAACUGGUGUACCAGACAAAAUAACUAGGCAGUUAUACAUGGUGUACCACGUAUAUCUCAUGUUAGUGUACAAGAAUCAAAUUUUAGUAGAAAAUGAUGAAAACUUUAACA
rfam:Gossypium arboreum cultivar AKA8401 contig_70292_1, whole genome shotgun sequence.